rnacentral:rRNA from 1 species
GAGGAAUAUUGGUCAAUGGACGGAAGUCUGAACCAGCCAAGUAGCGUGCAGGAUGACGGCCCUAUGGGUUGUAAACUGCUUUUGUAUGGGGAUAAAGUUAGGGACGUGUCCCUAUUUGCAGGUACCAUACGAAUAAGGACCGGCUAAUUCAGUGCCAGCAGCCGCGGUAAUACGGAAGGUCCAGGCGUUAUCCGGAUUUAUUGGGUUUAAAGGGAGCGUAGGCUGGAGAUUAAGUGUGUUGUGAAAUGUAGACGCUCAACGUCUGACUUGCAGCGCAUACUGGUUUCCUUGAGUACGCACAACGUUGGCGGAAUUCGUCGUGUAGCGGUGAAAUGCUUAGAUAUGACGAAGAACUCCGAUUGCGAAGGCAGCUGACGGGAGCGCAACUGACGCUUAAGCUCGAAGGUGCGGGUAUCAAACAGGAUUAGAUACCCUGGUAGUCCGCACAGUAAACGAUGGAUGCCCGCUGUUGGUACCUGGUAUCAGCGGCUAAGCGAAAGCAUUAAGCAUCCCACCUGGGGAGUACGCCGGCAACGGUG